UUCCUGAGUAACAACGAGACCUCAGCCUGCUAACUAGCUAUGCGGAGGUAUCCCUCCGCGGCCAGCUUCUUAGAGGGACUACGGCCUUUUAGGCCGCGGAAGUUUGAGGCAAUAACCAGGUCUGUGAUGCCCCUUAGAUGUUCUGGGCCGCCACGCGCGCUACACUGAUGUAUUCAACGAGUCUAUAGCCUUGGCCGACAGGCCCGGGUAAUCUUGGAAAAUUUCAUCGUGAUGGGGAUAGAUCAUUGCAAUUGUUGGUCUUCAACGAGGAAUGCCUAGUAA
rnacentral:rRNA from 1 species